AUUGAACGCUGGCGGCAUGCCUUACACAUGCAAGUCGAACGGCAGCAUGAUCUAGCUUGCUAGAUUGAUGGCGAGUGGCGAUCGGGUGAGUAAUACAUCGGAACGUGCCCUGUAGUGGGGGAUAACUAGUGGAAAGAUUAGCUAAUACCGCAUACGAACUGAGGCUGAAAGUGGGGGACCGCAAGGCCUCAUGCUAUAGGAGCGGCCGAUGUCGGGUUAGCUAGUUGGUGAGGUAAAGGCUCACCAAGGCGACGAUCAGUAGCUGGUCUGAGAGGACGAUCAGCCACACUGGGACUGAGACACGGCCCAGACUCCUACGGGAGGAAGCAGUGGGGAAUUUUAGACAAUGGGGGCAACCCUGAUCCAGCAAUGCCGCGUGUGUGAAGAAGGCCUUCGGGUUGUAAAGCACUUUUGUCCGGAAAGAAAUCGCACUUACUAAUAUUAGGUGUGGAUGACGGUACCGGAAGAAUAAGGACCGGCUAACUACGUGCCAGCCGCCGCCGUAACAC
rnacentral:rRNA from 1 species